rnacentral:rRNA from 1 species
AUUGAACGCUGGCGGCAUGCCUUACACAUGCAAGUCGAACGGCAGCACGGAGCUUGCUCUGGUGGCGAGUGGCGAACGGGUGAGUAAUAUAUCGGAACGUACCCUAGAGUGGGGGAUAACGUAGCGAAAGUUACGCUAAUACCGCAUACGAUCUAAGGAUGAAAGUGGGGGAUCGCAAGACCUCAUGCUCGUGGAGCGGCCGAUAUCUGAUUAGCUAGUUGGUAGGGUAAAAGCCUACCAAGGCAUCGAUCAGUAGCUGGUCUGAGAGGACGACCAGCCACACUGGAACUGAGACACGGUCCAGACUCCUACGGGAGGCAGCAGUGGGGAAUUUUGGACAAUGGGCGAAAGCCUGAUCCAGCAAUGCCGCGUGAGUGAAGAAGGCCUUCGGGUUGUAAAGCUCUUUUGUCGGGGAAGAAACGGUGAGAGCUAAUAUCUCUUGCUAAUGACGGUACCUGAAGAAUAAGCACCGGCUAACUACGUGCCAGCAGCCGCGGUAAUACGUAGGGUGCAAGCGUUAAUCGGAAUUACUGGGCGUAAAGCGUGCGCAGGCGGUUUUGUAAGUCUGAUGUGAAAUCCCCGGGCUCAACCUGGGAAUUGCAUUGGAGACUGCAAGGCUAGAAUCUGGCAGAGGGGGGUAGAAUUCCACGUGUAGCAGUGAAAUGCGUAGAUAUGUGGAGGAACACCGAUGGCGAAGGCAGCCCCCUGGGUCAAGAUUGACGCUCAUGCACGAAAGCGUGGGGAGCAAACAGGAUUAGAUACCCUGGUAGUCCACGCCCUAAACGAUGUCUACUAGUUGUCGGGUCUUAAUUGACUUGGUAACGCAGCUAACGCGUGAAGUAGACCGCCUGGGGAGUACGGUCGCAAGAUUAAAACUCAAAGGAAUUGACGGGGACCCGCACAAGCGGUGGAUGAUGUGGAUUAAUUCGAUGCAACGCGAAAAACCUUACCUACCCUUAACAUGGCUGGAAUCCUCGAGAGAUCAGGGAGUGCUCGAAAGAGAACCAGUACACAGGUGCUGCAUGGCUGUCGUCAGCUCGUGUCGUGAGAUGUUGGGUUAAGUCCCGCAACGAGCGCAACCCUUGUCAUUAGUUGCUACGAAAGGGCACUCUAAUGAGACUGCCGGUGACAAACCGGAGGAAGGUGGGGAUGACGUCAAGUCCUCAUGGCCCUUAUGGGUAGGGCUUCACACGUCAUACAAUGGUACAUACAGAGCGCCGCCAACCCGCGAGGGGGAGCUAAUCGCAGAAAGUGUAUCGUAGUCCGGAUUGUAGUCUGCAACUCGACUGCAUGAAGUUGGAAUCGCUAGUAAUCGCGGAUCAGCAUGUCGCGGUGAAUACGUUCCCGGGUCU